CGGUUAACUCCUUGAGUGUUGGUGAGGCAGAGGGCGAGUGUCCUAGGGCUUGUCUAUGCCUAGAAACUGCACUGGGAUAGCUCACAUCUCUUGGCUGGCCUGUGUUCAUGCUGUGGCAAGCAAGCUGCAUCACUUUUGAAACUCUCUAUCCACAUGGUGCUGUGCUGCCCUGAUUGGUGCGACAGCCCGCCCGUCGCUGUGCAGGUUGGUGUCCCAGGAUAACUUGUCCUGCCUCCAGGUAAGCAGCAUUCUAGGCCAUUUCUGGGGUGGCUUUGGGACGCUGCCUGGAGGCUGGAGGAAUGUGCAUUGAGGUCAUGCUCUCAGGAUGGACGAGGGAAAAGCAUGGGCUGCAUUCAGAGGUGAUGUGGAAGGAGGUGCCAGGUGUAAGGGGCACUGAGAGAGCCUGUAUUGCCAUAAUGGAAAAGUAAGACGGUCUCCUGCUAGUGCUUGUACUGCGACAGCCCUCUCCUCCAGCCCCUAGGGGCACCUCCUUAAAACCCCCUUGCGUGCCACCCCUGGGUUUGGCAUCAGACCUCCAGCUAUGGCAUGCAGGAUCUGUACUUCUCUGACUCCAGUGUCAGAAAUCAGCAGACGCUCUCGAGUGUUAGCUGGGGGUUACCGUGUUCCCUUUGGGAACAGGUUUGCACCUGCAGGAGAGCGGAUGCCCACGGUUUGAUCACGAAGAGCGAUUGUAGAGUCUCUUGUCUUCCAGUGUGAGUGACAGUCCUGUAGGAGAGGACAGGGUGGCAACAAGGCCAUAGUCACGGUGCCUGGGGCACUGUAGGGGAUGUUUGCUCUGCUGGACUGGGGAUGGAGUCCAGCUGCCGCCAGAGUUUUCAGCACUUGAUUCGCUGCCAUAUCUCAGUGGAGCUGCCUUGCCGAGAGCCGGGGAAGCUUUGACCCCAGAUAAGCAGUGAAGUCUCUGCUCAUGGGGUUUCCCUGCUCUGUCUAGCUAAUGCAAAAUCCCUGCUCCCUGCGCUCACCACUGCAUAGGUGUGAGAAAGCAGUUGGUGGCUGUGCCGCAGAGUAUGGUGAAGAAGCACGUUUGACUCAGAAAUGGCUUUCGAGCUGAGCAGGAAUUACUGUAGGGGCGACUUGCACUGGAAAGCGCUUCUGAGUGAUCCAGGUGGGGGAUUGUCCCUGCAGAAUUCAGCCUACAGCCAGGUUUUCCUAGAUACAUUGGAGCAUGCUGGAGAACUUGCUCGUACGUUCUCUCUGCGCUAUAGAACUGUACAGCUAGGGUCGGCAGAAUUGGAGUCUGAUUUUCUUAUGAUUACAGCCGAUAAUGCUGAUUAUUUUUAAGCAUUUUUUAAAAUUUUUUAUUGAUUUGAAAUGUUCACAGUUGCAGGAAAUUUUGGGGCUGUCAGACAAUUAUGUAAUGACAGUCUCUAGUAAGUUCUCGACCAGAAUUUUGCUUACUUUGCCUAUCUAUAAAUUUUGAUUAUUACUGAUGGGAGUAUUUUUUUCAUCUAGCUGUGUGUGUACAUUGAAAUUGAGGUUUACUAACAUUUAUUGAUUUAAAAUCUAAUCCUUCCAAGCCUAUUUAUAGCGUCGCUGAGAGAACCCUAUAGAAGUGAGCUCAUUCUCUACUAAAUUCUAUAGGGGGUUAGCGUGAUUUCUAUAGGACCCCAUUGGUUUCAUUCCCAUUAAAUUCUUUAGGGCCUUACAUUUUAAAGGCCCUCUCUGCUUGGUAUAAUGGUAUUUCUGUUUGUUUUGAAUGCACCCCAUAUGAUGCCUUGGGAUGCAUGCCUUGGGAGCAUUUCGUAUGGCCCCUAGCUUCUGAGAACAUCCCGGGAGGGAGCUGUGGGGUCCAGCAUGCUUUAGGAUCUCCAGGUGAAAAGGUGGUUGUAGCAGUGCAGCGUGUUACCCUCUGGUCUCUAGAAAGGCCCAAGUGGUGCUUGGGGCCCUGUGGCAGGGCUCUGAGAUGUAGGAAAUGUGAGUCAGACACUUGAGGGAAUCCACUCAGCUGAUUUUAAAAGCCACUUUCUUGAUGGGUUUGGCUUGAAGCCACAGGCACCCAGGUGAGGGUGGGACCUGUUCACAAGAGGGGGCAGGAGCAGGAAGUCCCAACCAGUGGGGCACUCGUUGCAGUCCAGGGAGGGCUCAGGCCUGUCCAGCCCCGUGUCCCUGACUGCUUUCUGCCUCUUGGCCACCCCGGGGAGUCUGCCCCUUCCCAGUGCUCUGGCACAGCAGGCUCAGCGGAUGGGUGGGGCUGGGCUGGUAGCUAGGUAGAGUGCAUAUGGGGCCCCUCGUGCAUACAGCUCCUUGCCUCCAAAGGGCAACACUGUCCCAGCUGGAUGCAGUGCCUUCUCUGGCACUCCUGAACCAGAGCUGCCUGCAGUGCUUCGCCCCAGCCACAGGCUGGUUUCCCCCAGCUUCAGCUUUUCCUUCCCUCCAAGCCAUGGCCUUGGUGCCGUCAUUGCUGAGACUGGAUAACAUCUGGGGAUCUGGGAAGCACCGUGAACAUUGCGAGGGUUAUUUGAAUGGAGGAAAGUCACUGGAAGGAACCCCAGUUUGACAGAGACCUGGGUCCCCUUCCCCAGUCAUGGCAGCUCAGACAUUCACUCUCAGAAAGAGAAGUACGCAGGAUGCUUUGAGACAGACCCCAAGAGAGCCCAGCAGCUUCUGUCCCCUCAUGGAGGUUGGGUUUGUUAGAUUCCAACAGGAGCAAAACUCCUCAGGGUGGCGGAGAGAGAGAGGGACCGUCAGUGCUAGGGUGAGGAGAGGCGGCUCACUUUGAGGUGGUGGUGCUGGUUGAACAUAAGCUUGGCCCUCCUGAUUCUCUUAUUUGGGGGCUUUCCUGAGACCUCACUCAUCACCCUCCUGCUUCCCUGAGCUCCGUCUGUGCUGUAACCUGAAUGCUGCUGUUGAGCCAGAGGAGUUAGCUGGAUCCUGGGGAUCCCUUUGCUUGGCUGCGCCAGGCUCUCAGGCUCCUCCUUGGCUAGACAAAGCAGCUGUACUGUUUUCUGACAUGCCUUUCACGUGGUGGGGAGUGUAUUUACAGACCAGGGGCUUUAUUCAUGCAGCCUGUUCUCCCAGGAGCAGCAGGUGUGUUGGAAGGGCCUGAGCCGGCUCUGCCUGCCUGAAAUUGGCAUUCUGGGUGCAGGGAUGGUUUUAGCCUUUCAGCCUCUGCCCCUUGAUAGAAGGUGCUUUGCCUUCAGCUGCUUCUCCCUGCCGCGUUGGGAAACGUCAGGGGGAGGCGCGUAUGUGUACACAGCUUCCUGGAUGAUAGGGGUGAGCUGAGCUGGUGAUAAAGCGGAAUCCGCCCAUCUAGCUGCACCAGAGAGGGGACGGAAGCACUUGUUGCUUGCAAAACAAAAUAUGGUCGUUGGUGCACGUUUCCCCUGCUGCAGCCGCGCAUGUUCGGCUUAGUCCGGGGUCCAAGUUUUACCUUUUAACAGCAGGCUGGAUUCCCACUGGGGCCGUACAGCUUCUUGCAGUGGAAUAUUAUAGUCCAGCCAUAACAUGGUCACGGAUUGUUCUUUAUUGAAACAGUUGGUUGCGUGUUUGUGUACAGCCGAA